rnacentral:rRNA from 1 species
UACGUAGGGGGCUAGCGUUGUCCGGAAUCAUUGGGCGUAAAGAGCGUGUAGGCGGCUCGGUAAGUCCGCUGUGAAAGUCCAGGGCUCAACCCUGGAAUGCCAGUGGAAACUGUCGAGCUAGAGUCCGGAAGAGGCGAGUGGAAUUCCUGGUGUAGCGGUGAAAUGCGCAGAUAUCAGGAGGAACACCAAUGGCGAAGGCAGCUCGCUGGGGACGGUACUGACGCUGAGACGCGAAAGCGUGGGGAGCAAACAGGG